UAAAAAAAAAAAAAAAAAAUCCAACAUUACCAUCUGCCUAUCAUCGAAGCCAUAGAACCAUCAGGCCCCACAGAACUUCUGUUACUAAGACUGCUUAGCACAAAAAGAUGAAUGACAGAGUUUGCAAAAUCUAGGAAUGUUCUGAUCCAACAUAAAGGACAACAUGGAUCAUACAUAAAAUGUUGGAGGAAAUUUAAAAAAAAAAAAAACCCAGAACGAAAAACUCGUAAGAGAAUAACAAAAAUAAAGGAACCCUAAUAGGACAUGUACUAAUAAAGAAAUCUCAAGAAAACCCGAAAGGCCAUCUCUUUCUCUAAUAAAAAUCUCUCCCACCUCACACACCGAACAAAAAAAUAAAAAAAAUUCAAAAUCAUCCACAAAAUAGAGUCAAGCAAUAAAUAAAUUAGAAAAAGGACUAGUAAAUGUUGUAAUUGACAAUCAAUCAAAGACCUUUUUCUUUAAGAACAGAAGUGUCAGUUUUUUUUUACUACAGUUUCAUCCACACCCAAUUGGGUCAAAACAAAAACAAUAACACACUAAUAAAAAUUCAAUUUUCUAUGAUCUUUUCUUUUUUGGCAAACGAGAAAUAACCCAAAAACAAAUCAUAGCAUCCAUCUAAAUCUAUUAUCAAUAAUAAUUACUGCUAAUAAAUAAAUAAAUAAAAAUAAGUGAAAUUUUGUUCUUUUGUUUCACAUUUGUGAUUGGAUAGCUUUUCAAAUCAAAACAAAUGGGUGUAUGCAUAUGACUUUUUGCCCACAAGAUUCGGACAUCAAAUACCCAACAAACAACAACAACAUGUUACCGUGUUCUAAAAGAUUAAUAAUGCAUCAUCAUCUCUAACUAUAUUUAUUAAUUUUCAUGUGUAUAUCUUUUCUUUUCUUUUCUUUUCAUCCGUUGAUGAAUUGCUCAGCUUAGGAGCUGGAGAGCCCUUUUUAGUUCUUGGGUUUUCUGGGAACGAACCCAAGAGCGGCUUGACAAGAUUCUUGUCACUGCUUCCAUUUCUUUUCAUUUUCUUUUUUUCUUUUUUCUUUCCCCAACUUGAAUAUGUUUUACUUGGUAGAACAGACAUUUUGGGAUAGCCAGGUUUAGAAUGGAGGUCUAAAAAGGGCCCUCUUGAAAUAUUUAUUUUUA
rnacentral:misc_RNA from 1 species